rnacentral:rRNA from 1 species
AAUGGAGAGUUUGAUCCUGGCUCAGGAUGAACGCUGGCGGUAUGCCUAACACAUGCAAGUCGAACGGGAAUCUUCGGAUUCUAGUGGCGGACGGGUGAGUAACACGUGAGAACCUACCUUCAGAAUGGGGACAACAGUUGGAAACGACUGCUAAUACCCAAUGUGCCGAGAGGUGAAAGAUUUAUCGUCUGAAGAUGGGCUCGCGUCUGAUUAGCUAGAUGGUGGGGUAAGAGCCUACCAUGGCAACGAUCAGUAGCUGGUCUGAGAGGAUGAGCAGCCACACUGGGACUGAGACACGGCCCAGACUCCUACGGGAGGCAGCAGUGGGGAAUUUUCCGCAAUGGGCGAAAGCCUGACGGAGCAAUACCGCGUGAGGGAGGAAGGUCCUUGGAUUGUAAACCUCUUUUAUCAGGGAAGAAGUUCUGACGGUACCUGAUGAAUAAGCAUCGGCUAACUCCGUGCCAGCAGCCGCGGUAAUACGGAGGAUGCAAGCGUUAUCCGGAAUUAUUGGGCGUAAAGCGUCCGUAGGUGGUUUUUCAAGUCUGCUGUUAAAGAAUGGAGCUUAACUCCAUAAGAGCGGUGGAAACUGAGAGACUAGAGUACAGUAGGGGUAGCAGGAAUUCCCAGUGUAGCGGUGAAAUGCGUAGAUAUUGGGAAGAACAUCGGUGGCGAAAGCGUGCUACUGGGCUGAAACUGACACUGAGGGACGAAAGCUAGGGUAGCGAAAGGGAUUAGAUACCCCUGUAGUCCUAGCCGUAAACGAUGGAUACUAGGCGUGGCUUGUAUCGACCCGAGCCGUGCCGAAGCUAACGCGUUAAGUAUCCCGCCUGGGGAGUACGCACGCAAGUGUGAAACUCAAAGGAAUUGACGGGGGCCCGCACAAGCGGUGGAGUAUGUGGUUUAAUUCGAUGCAACGCGAAGAACCUUACCAAGGCUUGACAUCCCUGGAAUCCUGCGGAAACGUGGGAGUGCCUUAGGGAGCCAGGAGACAGGUGGUGCAUGGCUGUCGUCAGCUCGUGUCGUGAGAUGUUGGGUUAAGUCCCGCAACGAGCGCAACCCUCGUUUUUAGUUGCCAUCAUUAAGUUGGGCACUCUAGAGAGACUGCCGGUGACAAACCGGAGGAAGGUGGGGAUGACGUCAAGUCAUCAUGCCCCUUACGCCUUGGGCUACACACGUACUACAAUGGUCGGGACAACGGGCAGCGAGCUCGCGAGAGUAAGCGAAUCCCAUCAAACCCGGCCUCAGUUCAGAUUGCAGGCUGCAACUCGCCUGCAUGAAGGAGGAAUCGCUAGUAAUCGCAGGUCAGAAUACUGCGGUGAAUUCGUUCCCGGGCCUUGUACACACCGCCCGUCACACCAUGGGAGCUGGUCACGCCCGAAGUCGUUACUCUAACCUUAGGGAGGAGGGCGCCGAAGGCAGGGCUAGUGACUGGGGUGAAGUCGUAACAAGGUAGCCGUACCGGAAGGUGUGGCUGGAUCACCUCCUUUAAGGG